UACGAAAGGUGCGAGCGUUAUUCAUAGUUAUUGGGCGUAAAGGGUAUGUAGGCGGGGCUGAAAAUUUCGUUAUAAAUGCUUGGAAUUAAACUAAGAAGAAGACUUUUAGAUUACAGCCCUUCGAGUUAAUGUCAGGUCGGGGGUACUUCUAGCGAAAAGGUAGAAUUUUACAAUUCUGGAAGGACCACCAAAGGCAAAGGCACCCCUCCAGAGUUAACUGACGCUGAGGUACGGAAGCGUAGGGAGCAAACAGGG
rnacentral:rRNA from 1 species